rnacentral:rRNA from 1 species
UACGUAGGGGGCAAGCGUUGUCCGGAUUUAUUGGGCGUAAAGAGCGUGUAGGCGGCCAGGUAGGUCCGUUGUGAAAACUCGAGGCUCAACCUCGAGACGCCGAUGGAAACCAUCUGGCUAGAGUCCGGAAGAGGAGAGUGGAAUUCCUGGUGUAGCGGUGAAAUGCGCAGAUAUCAGGAGGAACACCGGUGGCGAAGGCGGGUCUCUGGGCCGAUACUGACGCUGAGGUGCGAAAGCGUGGGGAGCAAACAGG